AUAAGAUUGUAGUACCGCAUGGUACAGCAAUUAAAGGAGUAAUCCGCUAUGAGAUGGACCCGCGUCGCAUUAGCUAGUUGGUGAGGUAACGGCUCACCAAGGCGACGAUGCGUAGCCGACCUGAGAGGGUGAUCGGCCACAUUGGGACUGAGACACGGCCCAGACUCCUACGGGAGGCAGCAGUGGGGAAUAUUGCACAAUGGGGGAAACCCUGAUGCAGCAACGCCGCGUGAGUGAUGACGGUCUUCGGAUUGUAAAGCUCUGUCUUUAGGGACGAUAAUGACGGUACCUAAGGAGGAAGCCACGGCUAACUACGUGCCAGCAGCCGCGGUAAUACGUAGGUGGCAAGCGUUGUCCGGAUUUACUGGGCGUAAAGGGAGCGUAGGUGGAUAUUUAAGUGGGAUGUGAAAUACCCGGGCUUAACCUGGGUGCUGCAUUCCAAACUGGAUAUCUAGAGUGCAGGAGAGGAAAGGAGAUCUAGAGGCAAUUCCUAGUGUAGCGGUGAAAUGCGA
rnacentral:rRNA from 1 species